CUUGGAGAGGUUUCCUGCUAAAAAGCUCUUCAUCGUUAAUGGGGAAACGAAAGCAGAAGUGGGACCCCCACGCCGCCGUUUCAUAACUCAAGAGUUUCUCCCCCUCGUGCCCCUUGUGAGCGUGCAUCAGGGAAGCAGACCACAGAGGCCCCCAUCCUUGUCAGGAGAGGGUCCCCACGGGCUGUAGGGUCCCCAGAUGGGCUUGCCUUGCUCUGACCUGCACGAAAGGGGCCCUCCCUUCUUCCCUCCGCCUGCACCACACCAGCGAUCAGAACCCAACGUGACUGCCCCGCUGACUUGCAGCGAUGUGUACGACCAGCCCUGGAAGGCGGAGGAAGCCCCAGAACCCCAGCAGGGCCGGCAGCCUGCGGCAGUGCCUGUCAGCAGGGCGAGGUCUCCUAGGCGAGGCGGUUCUUCUGUGUCAGCCCCGAGGCCCAGGCCUCGUUCCUGCUGAGGCCGGGCAGCCCGGCCGUCUCCGCUGACUGGGUCUUUCAGCUUCUUGGAAAAUCGCUAGCAGUAAGAGAAUACACUGGAGGCCGAGUUCAAGAAAGUGGCGCCCAGUUCAUCUGGCGAUCUGCCCACACCCGGGUUUGGACCAGAAGCAUCUGUGCAUCAUGGGGUCAUUCAGAGCAGAAAAAAUAUGAGUAGAAAAAAAUUCCUAACUUAAAGAAAUGUAAGAGUGCCAAUUCUGUACAAGGUUGGGAAAGAGACACCAAUCAUGACCCAUUUGCCGCAUUUGCUUCACCUCUCUCUACAAGGAUGCAUUCACAUCACUGCUGCCCAGCUGUCUGGAGAGUGAACUGCCCGCAUGGUGACCCUUGGUCCUGACUGCUUCAUGGUAUCUCCUGAAAACAAGAAUUCCAUUGAGGGAUCCCCCGGGCCGUGAUCAAAUUCAGGAAAUACAACAUGGGUACAAGGAGAUCAAUCUGCAGUCUGUGUGCAGAUUUCACAACCAUCCCAGCAGUGCCCUUUGUAGCAACUUUCCCCCUGCCCAGACCUGACACUGCGUCACGCUGUGCUCAGGAGGCAUGUGGCCCCUGGGCUUACUGGGCAGUGAGAGCUGGAGCAGUCCUGGCGCUGGCAGGCACCCCCAGGAACAAAGUCCUUCUGCCCCACCUCCGGAUUCCCUUCUGGUGUCCAGCCCGGUCUGUUUACUUGGUGGUCAGACUCCUUUGGGAGCGGUAGAGGCUAUUUUCCCCCCAGGAAAUCCACCAUUGGACUUUCCUGCCCAUGUCACUGACUUCAGGUUGCCGGCCUACUAGGUUCGUAGAAAGUGCCCAGGACUUUGGAGAUGGGGCCUGGGUGGGGGCAGGGCAGACCCCACAGCCGUGGUCACCGGUCUGGGGACUCUGGCUUUGAGUGCGUCCAGCCCUGCUUUUGGAGGGUCUUCCUAAAUAAAUCA